GAUCCUUUGUUGAAAGUCAAAAACAGGCCAUUUCAAAAGUCACAACACAGCCGGAAAGCCACAAGCUGUUUCAACAUCAGAAUGUGUGUGUGUGUGUGUGUG